UGGGGUGUGGCUCAGCGGUAGAGCGCUUGCCUAGCGCAUGCGAGGCCUUGGGUUCGAUCCUCAGCACCACAU
rfam:Ictidomys tridecemlineatus contig017369, whole genome shotgun sequence.